rnacentral:rRNA from 1 species
AGUGAACGCUGGCGGCGUGCUUAACACAAGCAAGUCGAACGAGAACGGAUUAUAGCUUGCUAUAAUUGUCAGCUAAGUGGCGCACGGGUGAGUAAUGUAUAGGUAAUAUGCCUUUUACUAAGGAAUAACAAAUGGAAACGUUUGCUAAUACCUUAUACUCCUUAUUAACAGAAGUUAAUAAGGGAAAGAUUUAUUGGUAAGAGAUUAGCCUGUAUUGUAUCAGUUAGUUGGUGGGGUAAUGGCUUACCAAGACUAUGACACAUAACUGGUUUGGGAGGAUGAUCAGUCACACUGGAACUGAGACACGGUCCAGACUCCGACGGGAGGCAGCAGUGGGGAAUAUUGCACAAUGGACGAAAGUCUGAUGCAGCAACGCCGCGUGGAGGAUGACACAUUUCGGUGCGUAAACUCCUUUUAUAUGAGAAGAUAAUGACGGUAUUAUAUGAAUAAGCACCGACUAACUCCGUGCCAGCCGCCGCCGUAA